UAGGGAAUCUUCGGCAAUGGACGAAAGUCUGACCGAGCAACGCCGCGUGAGUGAAGAAGGUUUUCGGAUCGUAAAACUCUGUUGUUAGAGAAGAACAAGGACGUUAGUAACUGAACGUCCCCUGACGGUAUCUAACCAGAAAGCCACGGCUAACUACGUGCCAGCAGCCGCGGUAAUACGUAGGUGGCAAGCGUUGUCCGGAUUUAUUGGGCGUAAAGCGAGCGCAGGCGGUUGCUUAAGUCUGAUGUGAAAGCCCCCGGCUCAACCGGGGAGGGUCAUUGGAAACUGGGUGACUUGAGUGCAGAAGAGGAGAGUGGAAUUCCAUGUGUAGCGGUGAAAUGCGUAGAUAUAUGGAGGGACACCAGUGGCGAAGGCGGCUCUCUGGUCUGUAACUGACGCUGAGGCACGAAAGCGUGGGGAGCAAACAGG
rnacentral:rRNA from 1 species